rnacentral:tRNA from 1 species
GGGGGUAAGCUCAGUGGUUAGAGCUUACGGCUUGUGACCGUGAGGUCCCAGGUUCGAAUCUCGUCAGAAAUUUAUUUUUA